AUCUACAGCCAUGCUACCCUGAACAAGUCCAAUCCCAUCUGAUCUCAGAAGCUAAGUAAAGUCGGGCCUGGUUAAUACUUGGAUGGGAGACCAUCUAGGAAGACCAGGUGCUGUAGGUG
ensembl:rRNA 5S_rRNA 5S ribosomal RNA